AACACUUGUGCAGUUUUAACAGGUCAAUUGAACAUUUGUUAUGAUUUAAUAUUUGUCAAGGAUGAAGCCAAUUGCACUAUUGUUUCACAAGUGGACAAAGGUGUUCUUACUGUUACAUUUCUACAAAGUAUUGGCUAGCAUAUGCUCUAACAAGACCUAUUGCCACACUGGUAUUUUUGUUUCUUCCUCUAUCCAAGCUCUGUAUCUUUUCCAACCAAGAAUGUUGUAAAAAUUUUCACAACAAAGAAAACAUUAAAAAUUUGAAAGAAUAGAGGCUACAAUUUCAUUUUCCCCAAAAUAUUUAAAAUUUGAUGUCAUUUUCCUUCAUUUUCAUUUUAUUUCGAUUUCUUUCGUAGGCUACUCAGACAAAACAGAAUCGAAUACUCUAAAUGGGAAUUCUAUUUCCAAAACAUUCAUUUCAUCUAGUUUCAUGGCUUUGGUUUUUUUCUUUGUUUUUAGAUCUGAAAACGCUUUUUGUCUAGAUCUGGUUUUCAUUUUCAAAUUCCAUCUCAAAUAAAUCUUGAAAAUUUGUUUAUGGGGUAAUUUUUUUGUUCAAAUCAAGAGUUAGGAGCAGUGGAAGCUUCCAUUUUCACGGCGUCAAUGACCCUCUAAAUGCACAAUUUCCCCACCAUCAAAUCUACCCAUUUUUCUUCUUUGACUUAUUUCCCAUACAGUUUCUCUGCACAGACAUUUUCCACUUCAUUCAAGCAUCUUUCAGGUUUAGUUAUUUUUUACCUUGUUCAUUUUCAC
rnacentral:lncRNA from 1 species